UACAGAGGUCCCAAGCGUUGUUCGGAAUUACUGGGCGUAAAGCGUGCGCAGGCGGCUUCUCAAGUCAGGGGUGAAAGCCCAGAGCUCAACUCUGGAAUUGCCUUUGAGACUGAGUGGCUUGAGUACGGGAGAGGUGAGUGGAAUUCCCAGUGUAGAGGUGAAAUUCGUAGAUAUUGGGAAGAACACCGGUGGCGAAGGCGGCAUCCUGGACCGAUACUGACGCUGAGGAGCCGAAAGCCAGGGGAGCAAAGCGGG
rnacentral:rRNA from 1 species